AUACAGAGGGUGCAAGCGUUAAUCGGAUUUACUGGGCGUAAAGCGCGCGUAGGUGGCUAAUUAAGUCAAAUGUGAAAUCCCCGAGCUUAACUUGGGAAUUGCAUUCGAUACUGGUUAGCUAGAGUAUGGGAGAGGAUGGUAGAAUUCCAGGUGUAGCGGUGAAAUGCGUAGAGAUCUGGAGGAAUACCGAUGGCGAAGGCAGCCAUCUGGCCUAAUACUGACACUGAGGUGCGAAAGCAUGGGGAGCAAACGGGAUUAGAUACCCUGGUAGUCCAUGCCGUAAACGAUGUCUACUAGCCGUUGGGGCCCUUGAGGCUUUAGUGGCGCAGCUAACGCGAUAAGUAGACCGCCUGGGGAGUACGGUCGCAAGACUAAAACUCAAAUGAAUUGACGGGG
rnacentral:rRNA from 1 species